AUGCUGAUUGGCCGAGGCUGCCGGGUGAAGUGGACGUUGAUUGGUCAGUUCAAAGCCAGCUGUCAGAAGGUAAAUAAAACGACCAUCAAGAAGGAAGAUCAAGACUACAGCACCAAGUUUAAAGACGAUAUUUACAACGAAAUAAUGAACCAGAUGAGGGUUGAGUGAUGGACGGAGCGCUGGAGGCGGCGAUGCGUCUUACGAAGAACGUCCACCGCAGUGGAGACGGACGAUCAACCUUAGAGCAGCGGUGAACUGUUGGUGCUGGUACGACCAUCACAUGCUGCUGUUGUUGACUCUACAGACUUGUGUGUGUCCAGUGGUGCGUCGUUGAGCAGUAAUGAUGGUUUGCUGGUUCUUCCCUGAGGUGUGGUCCUAGGUAUGACAAAGGUGCUCCCACUACCA